rnacentral:miRNA from 1 species
UAUCCCCAUUUUUCAGAUGUGGAAACUGAGGCACAGAAGUUAAGCAGUUUGCCCAAGGUCAUAUAACUAGUAAGUGAGGGACAUGGGAUACAAUUCC